CAGCAGCCGCGGGAAUACGGAGGGGGCUAGCGUUAUUCGGAAUUACUGGGCGUAAAGCGCACGUAGGCGGAUCAGAAAGUCAGAGGUGAAAUCCCAGGGCUCAACCUUGGAACUGCCUUUGAAACUCCUGAUCUUGAGGUCGAGAGAGGUGAGUGGAAUUCCGAGUGUAGAGGUGAAAUUCGUAGAUAUUCGGAGGAACACCAGUGGCGAAGGCGGCUCACUGGCUCGAUACUGACGCUGAGGUGCGAAAGCGCGGGGAGCAAACAGGAUUAGAGACCCCCGUAGUCCCUGUCUCUUAUAC
rnacentral:rRNA from 1 species